rnacentral:rRNA from 1 species
UACGUAGGGGGCAAGCGUUAUCCGGAUUUACUGGGUGUAAAGGGAGCGUAGACGGCAUGGCAAGCCAGAUGUGAAAGCCCGGGGCUCAACCCCGGGACUGCAUUUGGAACUGCCAGGCUAGAGUGUCGGAGAGGAAAGCGGAAUUCCUAGUGUAGCGGUGAAAUGCGUAGAUAUUAGGAGGAACACCAGUGGCGAAGGCGGCUUUCUGGACGAUGACUGACGUUGAGGCUCGAAAGCGUGGGGAGCAAACAGG